GAUGAACGCUGGCGGCGUGCUUAACACAUGCAAGUCGAACGGAAAGGCUCCUUCGUGCAGGGGUACUCGAGUGGCGAACGGGUGAGUAACACGUGGGUGAUCUGCCCUGCACUUCGGGAUAAGCCUGGGAAACUGGGUCUAGUACCGGAUAGGACGAUGGUUUGGAUGCCCUUGUGGAAAGUUUUUCGGUGUGGGAUGAGCUCGCGGCCUAUCAGCUUGUUGGUGGGGUAAUGGCAUACCAAGGCGUCGGCGGGUAGCCGGCCUGAGAGGGUGUACGGCCACAUUGGGCCUGAGAUACGGCACAGACUCGUACGGGAGGCAGCAGUGGGGAAUAUUGCACAAUGGGCGCAAGCCUGAUGCAGCGACGCCGCGUGGGGGAUGACGGCCUUCCGGUUGUAAACUCCUUUCGCUAGGGACGAAGCGCAAGUGACGGUACCUGGAGAAGAAGCACCGGUUAACUACGUG
rnacentral:rRNA from 1 species